rnacentral:rRNA from 1 species
AAAUGAAUUGACGGGGGCCCGCACAAGCGGAGGAGCAUGUGGUUUAAUUCGAUGAUACGCGAGGAACCUUACCAGGACUUGAACGCAUAAGGAAUAAUGUAGAAAUAUAUUAGUCGAAAGACCUUUAGCGAGGUGCUGCAUGGUUGUCGUCAGCUCGUGCCGUGAGGUGUUAGGUUAAGUCCUGCAACGAGCGCAACCCUUACUGUCAGUUACCAGCAUGUAAUGAUGGGGACUCUGGCGGAACUGCCCGCGCAAGCGUGGAGGAAGGUGGGGAUGACGUCAAAUCAGCACGGCCCUUACGUUCUGGGCGACACACGUGCUACAAUGGGGGGUACAGAGGGCAGCUACACUGCGAAGUGAUGCGAAUCUCAAAAUCCUCUCUCAGUUCGGAUCGGAGUCUGCAACUCGACUCCGUGAAGUUGGAUUCGCUAGUAAUCGCGCAUCAGCCAUGGCGCGGUGAAUACGUUCCCGGGCCUUGUACACACCGCCCGU